AUGACGUAAUCUACCGUUGGUCCAUUCAUCAGAGUCCAUUGCCACAAUCUGGAAAGUGUAAUACCUCUCUAACUUAGACUUCUGGGUUAGGCCAGAUGUCCGUGGCUUAACUGUAUUCAUACCUGAAAUGCCGUGAAAAUUUUGAAUCGUCAUUCACAAAAGAAUGAAUUUAGGAUUACUGUGAGGUCUGUUGUGGAGAUGGUUAGAUAUCUGUUCACAAUACCUGGAGUCAUCAGCAGCAGGUUGUGCCAGGACCCCGUUAAAUUGGCCAACAAAGACAGAGGGGUAAAUCCAACGAGAACCCGAAUGUUAGUGAAUUUGCUAAGAACACACAGGCUCUUCGGGUGAUCAACAGCACAUGUGCAACAGUUAGAGGCAACUGCUGAAAGACAAUAGAAGACGACCAUUGCAGCUAGGUGAUGAGAAUAACCCAUUCCCAAAAGAAGGCACAAGCAUAAUAAUUAUUGUAUAGAGAAAUCAAUUGUUCACAUGUUCAAUCACAUUCACAUGUUCAAUUCUUAACUGUGAUAAAUAAUUGUUCAAUUCUAUAAAUUUAACUGUGCAUGAUAAUUAAAUGAUGCUGCAGAGUGUCAGGACUUCAAUUCUGAGUAGAAUUUCACAGUAAAAGCCCGAACCAUCACACUAUGUUCAGAAUCCUCCAACGAAACUAUCAACGCAGAAGCUGUGUUGAGGGCAACUGCUUCCUCUGGUGAUGAAGCUUUGAAUCUAUGUACUCUCUGUCAAAACAGUCUUAAAAGCUUCCUUAAACCUACCUGCAUUUACAUGAAAAGGAAAGAAAGUAAGUGGAAAGUAAUUAAUUAUUAUUUAUUAUUAACAAACAGUUCAACAUCACUUACUCUGAAAUGGAGCCGGAGCACUACUUUCCAUUGUACAGUGCAAAUGUAGACCUGAGCUAGAAAGCCAUUCUUGAGAACUAGAAAGCCAUAUACUCGAAAUCAGCUGGCUGGAACACAAUUUUUAU